ACUUGGGACCGGGAGAGGUAAGAGGUACUGCAGGGGUAGGAGUGAAAUCUUGUAAUCCCUGUGAGACCACCAGUGGCGAAGGCGUCUUACCAGAACGGGUCCGACGGUGAGGGACGAAAGCUGGGGGCACGAACCGGAUUAGAUACCCGGGUAGUCCCAGCUGUAAACGAUGCUCGUUAGGUGUCAGGAACGGUGCGACUGUUUCUGGUGCCGAAGGGAAGCCGUGAAACGAGCCACCUGGGAAGUACGGCCGCAAGGCUGAAACUUAAAGGAAUUGGCGGGGGAGCACUACAACGGGUGGAGCCUGCGGUUUAAUUGGACCCAACGCCGGAAAACUCACCGGGGGCGACAGCAAUAUGUAGGUCAGGUUAAAGGUCUUACCUGAAUCGCUGAGAGGAGGUGCAUGGCCGUCGUCAGUUCGUACUGUGAAGCAUCCUGUUAAGUCAGGCAACGAGCAAGACCCGUGCCCACUGUUACCAGCAUAUCCUUUAUGGAUGAUGGGGACUCUGUGGGGACCGCUGCUGCUAAAGCAGAGGAAGGUGCGGGCUACGGUAGGUCAGUAUGCCCCGAAUCUCCCGGGCUACACGCGGGCUACAAUGGUUGGGACAAUGGGUAUCUACUCCGAAAGGAGUUGGCAAUCUCUUAAACCCAAUCGUAGUUCGAAUUGAGGGCUGUAACUCGCCCUCAUGAAGCUGAAUCCGUAGAAUCGCGUUUCACAUAGCG
rnacentral:rRNA from 1 species